rnacentral:tRNA from 1 species
AGGGUAUUAGGAUAGAUAUGAGACCAAGAGCCUUCAAAGCUCUCAGCAGAAGUGAAAACCUUCUAUCCCCUG